AAAGGUGUGCUAAUACCGGAUACGCUGAUUUAUCAGGAAAGGUGGCCUCUUCAUGAAAGCUACUGUGCCGGGAGGAGCUUGCGUACCAUUAGCUAGUUGGUGGGGUAAUGGCCUACCAAGGCAACGAUGGUUAGCGGGUCUGAGAGGAUGAUCCGCCACACUGGAACUGGAACACGGACCAGACUCCUACGGGAGGCAGCAGUGAGGAAUAUUGCGCAAUGGGGGCAACCCUGACGCAGCGACGCCGCGUGGAUGAUGAAGGCCUUCGGGUCGUAAAAUCCUGUCAGAUGGAAAGAAAUGCCAGAUGUCUAAUAUAUGUCUGGUUUGACGGUACCAUCAAAGGAAGCACCGGCUAACUCCGUGCCAGCAGCCGCGGUAAUACGGAGGGUGCAAGCGUUGUUCGGAAUUACUGGGCGUAAAGCGCGCGUAGGCGGCUAUUUAAGUCAGAUGUGAAAGUCCACGGCUCAACCGUGGAAGUGCAUUUGAUACUGGGUAGCUUGAGUACUGGAGGGGAUGGUGGAAUUCCCGGUGUAGAGGUGAAAUUCGUAGAUAUCGGGAGGAAUACCGGUGGCGAAGGCGACCAUCUGGCCAGAUACUGACGCUGAGGUG
rnacentral:rRNA from 1 species